rnacentral:lncRNA from 1 species
GGAGAGAGGUAGUGAGGGAGAGAGGUAGUGAGGGAGAGAGUUAGUGAGGUAGUGAGGGAGAGAGGUAGUGAGGGAGUGAGGUAGUGAGUUAGAGAGGUAGUGAGGUAGUGAGGGAGAGAGGUAGUGAGGGAGAGAGGUAGUGAGGGAGAGAGGUAGAGAGGUAGAGAGGUAGUGAGGGAGAGAGGUAGUGAGGGAGAGAGGUAGAGAGGGAGAGAGGUAGUGAGGGAGAGAGGUAGAGAGGUAGUGAGGGAGAGAGGUAGUGAGGGAGAGAGGUAGAGAGGGAGAGAGGUAGUGAGGGAGAGAGGUAGAGAGGUAGUGAGGGAGAGAGGUAGUGAGGGAGAGCGGUAGAGAGCAGAGAGGUAGUGAGGGAGUGAGGUAGAGAGGUAGUGAGGGAGUGAGGUAGUGAGGGAGAGCAGUAGAGAGGCAGAGAGGUAGUGAGGGAGUGAGGUAGAGAGGUAGUGAGGGAGCGAGGUAGUGAGGGAGAGAGGUAGUAUAUUCAGUUAUUCUUGUCUUCAUAUAACUACAGCAUGUAGGUUCCUGCAGAAACAACAUUACAGAGAGAGAAGGGGAGAUUAGCCCUACACCCUAGCCUCUAGCUU